rnacentral:tRNA from 1 species
AUGAGGGUCUUCAAGGCUGCCUCAGUGAGCCCAGGCGCCGGGACCGUCGGUGCCGGUGAGGGCGACCACGGGGGCUC